rnacentral:tRNA from 2 species
GACGGCAUGGCGCAGUGGUUACCGCGGCGGCCUGCUAUCCCUUAGUCAGCCGUUUCCAUUUGGUUCGCAGGUUCGAAUCCUGCUGUCGUCG